UACGUAGGGUGCAAGCGUUACUCGGAAUUACUGGGCGUAAAGCGUGCGCAGGCGGUUUGGUAAGACAGAUGUGAAAUCCCCGGGCUUAACCUGGGAAUUGCAUUUGUGACUGCCCGGCUAGAGUGUGUCAGAGGGGGGUAGAAUUCCACGUGUAGCAGUGAAAUGCGUAGAUAUGUGGAGGAAUACCGAUGGCGAAGGCAGCCCCCUGGGAUAACACUGACGCUCAUGCACGAAAGCGUGGGGAGCAAACAGG
rnacentral:rRNA from 1 species